UCGAAACCUGCACAGCAGAACGACCCGCGAACUUGUUUACCAACCACCGAGGGGGGGGGGCUUGCCUCGUCCCCUCGGAGCCGGAACGCGCCUUCUCCCAAUCCCGGUCAAACGGGUGGCUUGAUGGCGCGCGAAGGCAAGUACCCAAACACCGGCGCGGGUUGCGCCAAGGACUGUGAAAUUCUACCGCGUCUUGUGGCCCCGGGUGACCGGGUGCUGCGACGGCGCGUUGAAAAAUAUAUAACAAAACGACUCUCGGCAACGGAUAUCUCGGCUCUCGCAUCGAUGAAGAACGUAGCGAAAUGCGAUACUUGGUGUGAAUUGCAGAAUCCCGUGAACCAUCGAGUCUUUGAACGCAAGUUGCGCCCGAAGCCAUCCGGCUGAGGGCACGUCUGCCUGGGCGUCACGCAUCGCGUCGCCCCUCCCCCUCCACUGUUGAGCGGAGAGAGGGGCGGAGUAUGGCCCCCCGUGUGCCCCCGCGCGCGGCCGGCCUAAACACGGAGCCCGUGGCCGCGAGUGCCGCGACGUUUGGUGGUUGAAUCUCGAGCAUCGCGUCGCGUGCCGGAGCGUACUCGGAGAGCUCGAAGGACCCUUAGGCGUAGCAGCCUACCCUUGCGACCCC
rnacentral:rRNA from 1 species